CCUUCUCUGCAGCAAAGGGGGGGGACAAAUGCUGCCUCCAGCCUUUCCAAUGGCCCCUCUUUGAGUUCAGAGCUCUUGUCAUUCCCGUGCCUGGCUGAUGCUCUAUUAUUGAAGUUUCAAGCUUUCUCGUUCAGCAGCUUUACCAAAUUUGCUCAGAAAAUUAGAAAAUUGCUAUGUAUAUAUCCAACCCACUUCUCUUGUCAGUUCUGAUUUAGUGCUAGAGAUCAGAGGGAUGCUCAGGUAGGAGCAUCAGGUAAUUACCCUCAAAGAUGCCUGGGUCCCAAAGGCAGCCUUGAGAGGAACGGAUACCACGAGGAGGGGGCUGGCACAGGUACUGCUGCACGGAGCUCAGAGCACACAUUGGGAAAGGCACAGCAGCGAGGAUCCAGAAUCACCUUUUCUCCAGGAAGUGAAAAGCCUUGGGAAGAUUGGAUCAUGCAUUAUUUUUACCCUUGCAAAUGGUUCCCAGGCGCACUGAGCUCAAGCUGUGAAAAAUAGAGAGCACAAGCACUGGCUCCUGAGAUGCUGACCAUAGGGCUCAGGUUGGAUACAGUCACACAGAUAAAACCUCUGCGGGGUCCCAGCUGAGACUGCAUCACCUCGUGGGACCUUGGCAGCAACACAAGGCUGCUGUGCCCGAGGCUCUGGUGGGAAGAGGCACCAACACACCUUGGUUCCUCCGAGAUGAAUUUCAGACUUCUGAGCAAACCUGGCUUCCUGACAACUUGGCUUCGUCUGCUUAUUACAUGUAACACAUAACCUCCUUAAUAUUACACAUGGCACGUUUAACUGCUUAAUUUACUUUGGGAAAUCUUGCCAAGUGCAGCUAUUCUGUUGACGUAUCAUUUGCAUGAUAAACUUGUAUACUUUAAGCUACGAAUAGGACGCAUCUGUGAGCUAUCCAUCCACAACUUUACAAGCUCCCAGCAGCACAGGAUCUUCACACCUACAGUUGGAGCCCUACAUCGUGUCUGGGGAGGGAAGGAUCCCUUCUCUGGUGCCUUGUCUGCAUCAAGGAAUCAGAUGGGGUAGUUCUGAAAUAACUUCCUGUGCAGACGUUCUCUUUGGACUGGAAAUGGCUUAUAUUUUUAAUCACUCUGAACAGCUAUUUUUGCUUGGAUACAACUGGAAAUGACAUUUCUUGCUUAGACAAUAUGCUAUUCUGGCGUAUCCCCUGCUGUGUGCUCACUGCAAGGAGCCUGCGGCUCGGCCUAGGGCAGAGCUUCACAUGCACAAGUGUAUCGACGGGUGGGAGCAGCCCAAACCCUCCCACCAUGGACCCCACAUCCACCCCUUGGCUCCUCUCCAGGCUCCUUUUCUUAGCAUCAUGUGUGUCUAUCUGCACCUUUUUGACGGAGCAGACUUGCUCUGGUGCCUAUCAGCACUAACAAGCACUGCUCCCUCCGCGCCCUGCUCUAUGGGGCAGUCUCACCUCCUUGCUCUCCAUCAUAUUAGGCUUGCAGUCAUGCAGUGCCCUGUAAAGCUUCAAGGCCUUUGAAAACCGAGGGCUGGCAUCUUGAAGUCUAAUUUGACACGUUUCCAACAGGGGAAGCAUUUAUUAUAUUAGACAAGUUGAUGCAGCUCUCAGGUUGGGAAUUGCACUUAUUUGCUGUAAUAAUGGUGUAAAGUCCUCUUCUUUUUAUUGUGUUAUCUCUUUUUAAUCAUGCAGAGACGCUCCCCAGCAAUUUUAAUCAAAGGCUCGAGCAUCACUUAUCUGAAAACUAAUGACUCAACUCAAUGAGAGGAGAAACUUUGAAGAGCUCACGAUUGAGCUGGGAGGAGUGAAAAAGGAGAGUUUAUUCGAAACUUUGCUCUUUCAUUAAGGCAGCCUUUUUUUGGGCCAGGACUUGGCUGUGUGUCUAUAUGCAGCUCCUAGCACAGCGGGACGCGGAGCACGAUAGGACCUCUGGAUCCCAUAGUGAUGCUGGUACUGGGAGAUGACUGGAGAUGCUGGCUGGAGCUCUACGCCUGACAGCAGCCCAGGAGCAGGACUGGUCUGGCUACCCUGAAACACUGAGAUGUGAUCGAGUCUGAGCUGGUUACCAUGCUCCAGUGCUCACUGGAGGUCUGACUGCAGCAUGAGGUGGCAUUUGAAAUGUCUCUGAUGGUGGCCCCAUUCAGGCAUUGGAACGUGUUGUCUGGGGAAAUGGCAAGUCUACAUGCCUGGAGGUACUGAAGACAUUCAUGGAUGUGGCACCAAGGGACAUGGAAUAGAGAUGGGACUUGGGCAAUGUAAAUGGGACUUCACCCCAUCCCCACCUCCUGACUUGAGACUGUGGCUUGAGAACAGCAGGAAUUGCUCAUGGGACAGACCAGGGAUGUAUAUAUCAAGGCUGGAACACAGAGAUGAAAGCAUCCCGGGGGCAGGCAGAAGAGUGGGGCUGGAAUUCAGCUUCCUCACUGCAAGAUUUCACUUUCACUGAGUAGAUAUUUGGUAAAAUAUCUCUUCCUCCUCAUGCUGAGGACCUUAUUGCUCCCCAGGCCUGAGCACAGGAUCAUUCAACAGAAAGACAUUGAAAAAGUCAGCGUUGGCUUUUUCUCUCUGCAAAUAACACCGUGUUUCAGAGAGGCUGAAAUUGCAACAUGAAUCAAAGCAGACAGCUGGAGUCUAUGCGUGCAGCCUGCAGCCCUCAUGCACUGAAGGGCCUGCCCUGUCCCCAGGACGUCUAUGGACGCUCCAAGGGGUUCCUAUUACCAUCUCCACUCUGCCAGGAGGGAAACUGAGGCUGGGAAUGUCACCCAUGACUGCUGAGUCUGUGGACGUCUCCUUGGAAUCACAUCAGUUCAUUACAGGCACAGCUUUCCUUUGGCCAUCAGUGUCCAUCUGCUCAGAUGUUCCGGAGCUCCAUCAUGAAAGCCUGGGAAAUUUAUUUAUUUCAACCCAUUUAAAGUGAUUUCACUAAUGUAUUCCACAGAGUGGGUUUAGCGUGUGAGCUCUUUACUAAAAUCAUUACUGUAUUAAUGAGACCUAACCUAAAGCCACUGAACAUGACUUUAAAGGAAUAUCUCAAAGCGGCGGCUGAGAUGGAUGGGAGCAGGCAGAACGUGUUUGUAAAGUUAUAUUUAGUCAAAUCAAACUGGAACUCAUUAAAUACAGCAAAAUAAUUCACUGAAUAAUUCACUCCAGUUGAAUGCGAAGGAUUUGGAGAACCUUGGGUUGUUUGAUUGAAAAGCAGGUUAUUGAUGCUCCUGUGCAUGUGACAGAGCAGAAAUAGGAGUGGGAGGUGGAGAGCUGUCACCUCGGUGUGAAGGGCCUUCCGUGGAGAAAGGUCCAUCAGAACCAAAGGUUGGCAAAGCGUGGCUGGAAUUAAGGCUCACGCUUUUGUUUGGGAGGGAAAUGAACAGCAGCCCCUGAGUGGGGAGUAUGGGAUGUAGGAGAGCACUCUGGGAGCAGCGCAGGGUCAGAGGAGGAAUGGCUCCAGCAGUGCCUUUGCUUAUACCCAAGCAGGGCAUGCACCUACUCUUAAAGCAAGUAAAACCUCAUUCCCUCAUUCGUGCAAACUUCAGGCCACACCUCAGACCUGGUCCCAACCAUUCAGCCAUCCCUACAGCAUCGGAGAGGAUCAGCUUUGCUUCACAUAUGAGAAAACCCUGGCACAGACACCAUGGCAGCUCAGCCAUGUGUCCCCUCCGCACCCCCUCCUCCUUUAACCCCAUUCAUGCCAGCAUGCUCCGCUCUGGAAUCUCCCAGCAAAAGGAAAAGCUUUAAACAAAAUACAAUUUUACAGUUCAUUUCAGUUAAUCACAGAGUCUAUGUUCUGAAAUGAUCUUCUCGGCAUUGCCUAUGGAGAGAAGCAAUGGCUGAUUGGCAUUCCAUUACUAAACAGCUAAGCCAUUCAUAAUGCAAAAAAACAGACUUGAUGGAAAGAUUUGAUUCAGUUUUCAAGCUAGACUAAUUCAAAACCCAGUGCUCUAUAAAUCAGAGCAAAUGUUCUUUAUAAAAAAAAUAUAGCCGAGCCUGUGUGCAGUAUCAGAUCUAUGAUUUAUGCCUGUAUCCCAUUAAACUGAAGGACAAGCGAGGGGAGCACAGGGCUGCCACUGCAUGCCAGCUCCCUGCCUGCCCCGCAAUAAACACGUUCUGUGACUGCAGGAACAGUGUGAUGUCUGAGGGACGUUUGGGGGCUGAGGGGAUGUUCUGUUUUCCAGGGGCACAGCAAAGCCCCUUGGGGGGCUGUGGAGCCUGCAGGAGGGCAGGGGAUGGUGCCUCGGAGCAGCAGGGCUGUGCUGAAGCCCUCGGUUUUUCCUUCUUUGCUGCACCACCUCAUGCCCUGCAGAGUCCCUUCUGCAGAGAUACCACUGUUUUUCAGCCUGCAGGUGGGAUGUCUCCUUUGAGCAUCACAGGAUACAACAGUUCCCCAGCACCACUUUCAGGCUGCAGCAGAAGGAAGCGGUCCAGGAAACAUCCCACGCGUGUUUCCUUCCUGCUAAACCUCUCCACCCGAUGGCAGCUUCAGCGCUGUGCAUUGCUUUGGUGCAUGGAGCAGUGCUGUGUUCCACACCAAGCCCUGGGUGUGGGUGUUCUUCCACCUCUCCGUGCAUCUCCUGCUCUUGUUUGCCUUCUCUACAGCCCACGUGGCUCCACACCGAGUGGAGCUGGGGGCCGUUAACAUCUGUUGGCACUCCAGAGCUCGUGGGGAAAACGAUGCCAUCUUUCAGGGACCGCCGCUGACAUUUUAAAAGCCGUGUCUGAAAUCCCUGAACAAUUAAGAGCGAGGCUUUCACAUUCCUCCCUACCCACAGCAUUGCACAGGCAAGGCACCAGCUGAGAAGUGCGUGGUGAUAGGAAAAGCCACGAUUAAUGAAUAAUGGAGCGCUGGCAAUAUGUAACUUCCAGGCGGAGCCAUCAUAAUUCAAUCCAAGCAGCAAUAUCAGGGCCUUUCCUUGGAGGAGUCUAAGCAGUGGUUAAAUAUUCAAUAAAAAAAAAAGAUGGC
ensembl:lncRNA